CGCCUGUUUAUCAAAAACAUGUCCUUUUGAUUAGAAUUAAAAGUCUGACCUGCCCACUGAUUAAAUAUUAAAGGGCCGCGGUAUUUAUGACCGUGCAAAGGUAGCAUAAUCAUUAGUUUUUUAAUUGAGGACUAGAAUGAAUGGUUUAACGAAAUAUAUACUGUCUCAUAAUGAUAAUUUAGAAUUUAAUUAUUGAGUGAAAAAGCUUAAAUAAAAUUGGAGGACGAGAAGACCCUAUAGAGCUUUAUAUAAUUUUUUGUAUAUUUAUUUAAGAAUUAUUAAAAUGUUUAUAAGAAAUUAUAUUUUAUUGGGGUAAUAAGAAGAUUAAUAUAAUUCUUUUUUAUUUUUUACAUAAAUUUAUGAAUUGUUGAUCCAUUAAUAAUGAUUAUAAGAUUAAGUUACCUUAGGGAUAACAGCGUAAUUUUUUUUGAGAGUUCUUAUCAAUAAAAGAGAUUGCGACCUCGAUGUUGGAUUAAGGAAAUAUUUAGGUGAAGAAGUUUAAAAUAUAAGUCUGUUCGACUUUUAAAUUCUUACGUGAUCUGAGUUCAGACCGG
rnacentral:rRNA from 1 species